GACGAACGCUGGCGGCGUGCCUAAUACAUGCAAGUUGAGCGCUGAAGGUUGGUACUUGUACCAACUGGAUGAGCAGCGAACGGGUGAGUAACGCGUGGGGAAUCUGCCUUUGAGCGGGGGACAACAUUUGGAAACGAAUGCUAAUACCGCAUAAAAACUUUAAACACAAGUUUUAAGUUUGAAAGAUGCAAUUGCAUCACUCAAAGAUGAUCCCGCGUUGUAUUAGCUAGUUGGUGGGGUAAAGGCUCACCAAGGCGAUGAUACAUAGCCGACCUGAGAGGGUGAUCGGCCACAUUGGGACUGAGACACGGCCCAAACUCCUACGGGAGGCAGCAGUAGGGAAUCUUCGGCAAUGGACGAAAGUCUGACCGAGCAACGCCGCGUGAGUGAAGAAGGUUUUCGGAUCGUAAAACUCUGUUGGUAGAGAAGAACGUUGGUGAGAGUGGAAAGCUCAUCAAGUGACGGUAACUACCCAGAAAGGGGCGGCUAACUACGU
rnacentral:rRNA from 1 species